GAUCGACCUGGUCGAGGCCAUAGGCCACCACCUCCCGGGUCGUGCGGUGCAGCUCCGCCGCCAGCUCGACGCCGGUCGCGCCGGCGCCGAUGA
rnacentral:tRNA from 1 species